rnacentral:misc_RNA from 1 species
AACGCACGAGACCUGCGGACCUGCGGAGGGAUCAUUACUGAGUGAGGGCCCUCUGGGUCCAACCUCCCACCCGUGUUUAUCGUACCUUGUUGCUUCGGCGGGCCCGCCUCACGGCCGCCGGGGGGCACCUGCCCCCGGGCCCGCGCCCGCCGAAGACAUCAUUGAACUCUGUCUGAAGAUUGCAGUCUGAGUAGAUUAGCUAAAUCAGUUAAAACUUUCAACAAUGGAUCUCUAGAUCGG